AAGGAUUCCCUCAGUACGGGCGACGGAAGCGGGAAAAGCCCACAUUGGUAAUCUCCGGGGAGAACCUCGGCGAAUUGUAAUCUGAAGAUAGCUGGCCUAAUUGGAGGAGUCGCAGAAGUGUCCACGAGCGGACCGCCAAAGAGGGUGAGAGCCCCGUCUGUGGUGACGCCUCCUACCGGGCUGGUCAUCGAAGAGUCGCGUACUUUGAUACUAGUGCGCAAAGCGGGAGAUAAACUUCUUCUAAGGCUAAAUACAUGUAGGAAACCGAUAGCGAACAAGUACUGUGAAGGAAAGAUGAAAAGCACUUUGGAAAGAGAGUUAAAAGACUUGAAAUCGUUGAGGCGGAAGCGGUAGAAAUGAAUUCUACGGGCGUGCUCUGUGAAUCUGCCAAAGCGUAGCGGAAGCGGAGAAAUUGGGCGCGUGUGUGAGACAAGAUGGAGUCGCACGAUGCCAGAAGCGGUGCAGAAGGGAGCAAUUCAGUCUGUGCUGGCGGGGUGUCGAGCGGCUUGAGGGGCUUUGUGCGAUCUUGUCAAAAUGGUUUUUACCGACUCGUCUUGAAACACGAACCAAGGAGUCUAAGACUAACGCGAGUAUGGUGGUGGAGAAACCAACAUGCGAAAUGAAAGUGAAUGAUGCCAAGCUAUGCACCAGCAUCGACCGACCAUGACCCACUGGGAAAAGGUUUGAGUAAGAGCGUUAUUCUUAGGACCCGAAAGAUGGUGAAACUAU
rnacentral:rRNA from 1 species